AAUUAUUUCAAUUUUCUUUCACAAUACUAUUACACUAUAAUUAAAAUUAUUUUUUCUUUAUUAAAUACUAAAACAAAUAAUUAUAUAAUUAUUUUUAAUAAUUUAAAUUUUUUAAAAUAAAAAUUAAUAAAUAAAAUAUAAUCAAUUUAUAUUGAUUUGCACAAAAAUCUUUUCAAUGUAAAUGAAAUACUUUACUUAAUAAGCUUUAAAUUGCAUUCUAGAUACACUUUCCAGUACAUCUACUAUGUUACGACUUAUCUUACCUUAAUAAUAAGAGUGACGGGCGAUAUGUGCAUAUUUUAGAGCUAAAAUCAAAUUAUUUAUCUUUAUAAUUUUACUAUCAAAUCCACCUUCAAUAAAUAUUUCACAUUUAUAUUCGUAUAAAUAAAUUUAUUGUAACCCAUUUUUACUUAAACAUAAACUACACCUUGAUCUGAUAUAUUUUCUUUUUUAAAAUUGUGAAAAUUAACAUUCUUAUAAAAUAUUCUAAUAACGACGGUAUAUAAAUUGAUUACAAAUUUAAGUAAGGUCCAUCGAGGAUUAUCGAUUAUAAAACAGGUUCCUCUGAAUAGACUAAAAUACCGCCAAAUUUUUUAAGUUUCAAGAACAUAACUA
rnacentral:rRNA from 1 species